rnacentral:rRNA from 1 species
AUUGAACGCUGGCGGCAGGCCUAACACAUGCAAGUCGAGCGGAUGAAGGGAGCUUGCUCCUGGAUUUAGCGGCGGACGGGUGAGUAAUGCCUAGGAAUCUGCCUGGUAGUGGGGGAUAACGUCCGGAAACGGGCGCUAAUACCGCAUACGUCCUGAGGGAGAAAGUGGGGGAUCUUCGGACCUCACGCUAUCAGAUGAGCCUAGGUCGGAUUAGCUAGUUGGUGGGGUAAGGGCCUACCAAGGCGACGAUCCGUAACUGGUCUGAGAGGAUGAUCAGUCACACUGGAACUGAGACACGGUCCAGACUCCUACGGGAGGCAGCAGUGGGGAAUAUUGGACAAUGGGCGAAAGCCUGAUCCAGCCAUACCGCGUGUGUGAAGAAGGUCUUCGGACUGUAAAGCACUUUAAGUUGGGAGGAAGGGCAGUAAGUUAAUACCUUGCUGUUUUGACGUUACCAACAGAAUAAGCACCGGCUAACUUCGUG